GGAGAAGUUUCUUCGCAGUUCUCGCGACUCGGAAAAAACUGGAUGUGAAGCUCGCGAGCUAGUUUCGCCGCAUAGCAUAGAUGCAGUUGCGCGACGACUUGGGAGGAGAAUUCCCAUUAGUAAAACGUUGCAACAGCUGACUCGGCGUUCUCUGGAAAAGAAAACCGAGAUGAUAUGAUAAGCUGGUGUGCUCGUACUAUAUGGCGACUCUGCGAUAAGGCUCUCCGAGGAAAUGCCUUUUAAAUAAUCGCUCUCAUACAACUUUGAAGCCUCUUACACCUACAAUCGAAAUUCGAAAGAGAACAAUUCUUAUCAGAUGAGUUCUUCGUCGUCGUCAUCAGCACACGAUAUCAUUAUAGUUGCAUAUUUAAAAACAGCACAGCUAUAUUGAUCAAGGAAUACACCUUAUGCAAAUGCAAGCACGCCGCCGUACAUAGAACAUAUACAUACGUGUGCCCGAUGCUAGACAAGUGCCAAGAAGCGAAAAUUAUAACUUUCGACGGGCAACGGAAACGGGAAAAACAAAGGUUUUGUAAAACUUAUCUUCUAAGAAGCAGAAGCGUCCAUCUUUGAGAAGGCUUUUAUUAUUGGGAACCCGGUACAAGAAUCCGCGACGAGAGCAAGGAAUUCGGGGGACCGGCGCCCCGCGUCCGGGAAAAGUGAUCUCGGCAGGUAGUCUUUUGUGCGCUUUUAUACCGAUUACUGAUGCUAUCUACGUGCAGGCUUAAGACCCUCCGAGGACCCUCAGCUCAGAGUAGGUCCGGCUUGAGGUUUGAAAUCGAUUGUCAACUUUUAGAGAGCGCAUUUGUCACACUAUUUACUAUAUAGCCUUAUGCUCUUUCGUUUGUUGCUUCGUCGGAAUCGAAAUGAACUACAAUUGCAAGCAGCCAUGCGCACGGUGCCGUCAUCGCAUAAAUCCGUUAGGCAUACUUUGAGAAAAAGCCGUCGAAGAAAGCGCUGCACAGUACACACCGACCCGUCCCAUACCAACAGCACUUCUACGCACGAAAAAGGUUAGGCGUGCUGCGUCUAAGAUAAUGCAUACGCGUAGACACAUUUUCGGUGCACACGAAUAGACAUCCGGAAAUCAAGUGGACGGGCAGACAGCACAGGAAACGACGCGCGCCGACAUUCAGAGCACGAAUAAGCCUUGUAUGAGAAAGAGGAAUUCGUGAAAUUUCGUACAUUUCGUAGACUUUGUAGAUUUGACAAGAUGGCGUCAUCAAGGCGAUCGAAUGGCUUAUUAAAAAGGACCCUGCUUAUGCUUGAUUUCAGCGAAGAGCAGCGAAAGAAGCGAGAAACGGUGGGAUGCCUACAUAAAUUACAUAAAUUCUUAUGAGUCUUGCGUCAUUUGAAAUACGCUACGCUCAAACUCCCCUGGCACACAUUGCCGAGGAAACGUCACCGCCUCCCUCCAGCACAGCCGGCUAUAAUUUGCAUUCGCCAACUUGUUAUUUAGUCGCAGUUUAUCAUACUCGAUGAUCUGAUGGACAAAAAAUUAUUGAAAUCUCGCCUCCCCCCCCCCCUCUCUCACGUUACUCACAAAGAGAAAUGGUUUCAAAGUCAUGAAGAUGUAUCGAAGACUUUCCAAGAUCUCUCACAGACGUUUGAAGCGACUGAAGCUCGCAAUACGAUGUGUACCGUAUCUUUCGCAUCAGGCCGACGACAAGACUGCAUUUUUCUCGCACCUCUUCCGAGAAAUCGCCGGUUGCAGUCCUCUCUCUCUCUCUCGUGUACUUCGAAAACCGAUAAUCAUCUUUUGCCAGAGUUACGCACUUCGACUUAUAUUAUUUAUCAGGCAUAAGUGCCCAAAAUUAAUGCAAGAAAAGCAUUUCACAGAAAACCGGAGAAUAGCUGUAAUUGCACGAAGCGAGCUUUUCCAAAAGCAUUGUCAACAUUUUCGAGAGAACCCGUUAACCCGCAUAUUAAAGUUGUCGUCGUUGUCGUUUGCUUUCAUUUUGCCAGUUUGAGGCAAGGUCGCGAUUACGGUACUGCUAUACGGCAAGCGGACUUGUUUCGCACGGAAGACCUUACCGCGAUCUACAAGCAGGCAAACGCGAAUACCAUGCCAUCAGAAGGAAAAAUGUAAAGAUACAUACCUUUACUCUGUUUGGAAAUCUUGAAGAACCAUUCACUGAAGAGAAUCAACAACUAUAGUCCAACGUAGAAGAAAUACGAUAUCGUAUAAGCAGGUAAUUCCCUAACCUAAGCUAACCAUCAUCCAUACACAGUAAUUACAAGUGGCAAUCUUAAAAAGAAAAUUCGACAUUUGGCCUGGAAUAUAAAAAACAAUUUCGUAUCCGAUGAAGUGGCGCAGCAAAGAGUAAAGCCAUAAAUCUCUCUCUUUCUUCGUAUGAAUCACGCACACACACACACUCUCGCAGCAGCAGCAGCAGUAUCCUUGUUUUUUCCCUUUUUCGCAUAUGAAAAUCAGGCAAUCGUUUCCAGCUGGCUUACGACGCAGUACUCCCUCGACGUAUCACCUCUUCCACCUAGACGAGCAUUUGCCAUUCUGCAAUACAGUCAACGGGAUUUUGGAGUGAGUGUAUCGACUGUACCCGUGAGUCAUGCUGCCGCGACGAUAAUUAUGAUACGUUAGUCACUUGUACUUUUUUGACACGUGGAGAAAUAUAAUGAUGUAGCGCGAGCUAUUACCCAUUCAAUUAUAAUAAUGACUCCUAGUGCAUCCGCGAUGUAUUCUUCGGAGCAUAUAGUGGGAACUGACGCAUUGACUUCAUACUCUAGGAACGACGAGGCUAUAAUAUGUUAUCUAUAAAGGAAUUAUCGAAUUUGGUUUACAUCACCUACCAUACUGCAGCACAAUUUCGCCGCGUCGGACUGGCGCCGAUCCAAGGAGAACAGCGCGUCGCAAAAAAUCCGCGAAGAAUCCGACGCUGAUGCUGACUCAUCUUGCUCGUAGUUAUCGGAGAGAGAGAGAGAGAGAGAGAGAGGUGGGGGGGGGGGGUCGAGAGAGUUAUAUUUGAUGCGCAUAUGCACGGAACACAGUUUUUUCAACAAAAAUAGUAAGAAAAUCUAAGUUAUUCUUCUCGCUACUCCAAGGUAGCAAAAUUGUAUGAAAAUGAAGGUUUUCAGUCGAAGAUAUUCUGUGACUUAGUUUGAAAAAGCAUGGCGUAUAACAAACAGCGAAACAGCUUUCCUCGUCAGAAAAUUAAAAUUCAGACUGUUUUUUUUUUCUGCGGGACAAAGAUAAAUAACGCACUCCUUUUGUUUCUUGAGCGGCGUCAUUCUUCGAGUCUACGGAUCAGCGAUUACUAUUGAGAAAUUAACUUAAAACGUAAAAAAGGACAAUGACAAAAAUUGACAGCUCGCAUUUGAUUCGCAAGUAAUAAAUAUUUGAUAAUAUGCGCGCGUAGACUUUUAAUUAAUCGUAUAAAAUUCGAAUCGUUGAAUGCUGCGUUGAAAAGAAGCCUUUGAUAAGAUCCAAGUGAUGAUUCCGGAAUUAUGAAUUAUGUCACGAGAGAUGGAAGCGCUGCAGUACACUGCGUAUACGCAGCUCUGGUCAAUUAACGCGCGUACAUACACACACACACACACAGCGCAGUCCCAGUUUUCUCGGUCUUUGAGAACGAGUAAAGCUGCGUCUGAGACUGGCCGGGACUAUGAAUUUUCAUGAUAAUUUGCAGCAGUUAUGGCAGACAACGAGAUUUCAGUUUUUCACUGCAGGAACAUGCAUUGAAACACAUCUGAAUGAGAGUAAUCAUUGAUACUUUGGAUUGAGAACAUCGGUCAAGUAGCAUGCGACCUUAUAGAUUUCAGGCGGCGGUCAUCUGGUAUCGAACUGCACUUGCAGCUGUAGCACACAAAUGUUUUACAAAGACAAAAUCUGACUCAUUGCACACACAGCUGGAAUUAAGCGAUUAUCACGUAGCGGAAGCCUGCAGCAGAUUCGAAAGGAAGCGGUUAUCGAAUCUGCCGCCGCUGCUGCUGCCGCACUAUUAUAAUAUAUGGAGCGCACAACAACCUUAUAUUCUAGAUUCCGAUCCCUUUUUUACGAGCGGCUCGGUUGCUUUUAGCCUUGAAAAAGUAUACGUGCAUGGGCUCGGCUAACGAAUCUGAAAAUCGAGGCUAGAUCAAGCCCACCUACAUUCAUCUCCGUACAGCAUAAACGUGUGAGGAUGAAUGAGAAUAGAGCGGCUCAAGUUCUAUUUUGACGCUGCUAAAAGUCGAAAAAAAAAAUAAAAAAAUAAAAAAAUGAAAGUAAAAGGAACAGGCCGUGCUCUUGCGGACGAUAAAAAGCGAGAGAGUGUGAGAGAGGCGGAAAAAUAGAGACGAAAGCGGAUCAGGAACGUGCCUCGAGCCUCAAUAUUUACGCGAGCGGCGAUUUAAAAUUAGAUGGAGAGCGCGACGACGUAUUUUUUCCAGCGCCUUCUCCCUAUUAGUCGUCGCGCCUGACUCGGCAGAUUAAGCAAAAUCUGAUAUUCCGCUUCCGCCCGGACAACGAGAGAGCCUAAUGAGGGGUAAUUGCAAAACAGCGAUAGCCCAAUUAGAUAACAAAGCCGCCUGACAAUCGCGCCUUAUUGGCGAGCGAAGCGAUCGAAAGCGAAGGAAAAAAGAAGAAACGACGGCUCGAGUUGGGCGAGUUGAGUGGAUCGGAGAGAGUAACAGGUGCGGCGGCAGUCCUCUAUGCCAUUGGCGAGAAAUGCCGUUGACUGCAUCAACUCGCGGAGCUGCCUGCGAUUUUAGGCGAACAUGUCCCGCCGCCGCUUCAAGGCCAGGUCGCCGGGGUGCAACGACCCAACGACCGCGAGUGUCACACCCAGGCAGAUAAAGAAGGAGUCAUCGCCGCGCGCGUGCUUCUUCCUCUGCUUACAACUUUUUGCUUAGCCCGAUAUCGCAGACUCGCGCGCGUUGUUUAUGCUCGUCUCGGCUGGCUGAACUGAAGCUGGCUCGGGCAGAACAAUCGGCAACGUACUGCCCGCACAGACGCACUUCGGCGGACGCGUAUACAAAGUAUAAGUAAACUCGGCGAGUCGAAAAAGCCCGAGCCAAAUAUAGCGCGCCCGCGCGCGCGCAGCUGCAGUGCAUGCAGUCGCAGUAGACACGAGACAUAUGCGCAGACGAUGUACGCGCCGCAGAGACGACGGACACGGAUAAACAGAGGGGAUGCAGGAUAAACGGAGUCCGAGGAAUUCGAAGAGCGGGGACUGCGCCCCGUCAAUUGGAAUUGAUUGCUAGAAUGGAAUAACGAGUGGCGUCCCUCAGCUGCAGCCGUUGUUGCUCGAUCGACUUUUCGAGUGACAUCAUUCGCUCACGGUUCGCGGCCUUAACCGGCGACAUACGUGGGCGCUGGAGGUUUCUUCACAGCUACUUAUGCAGUCGGAGGGAAACGUCCAAGGAAAGUUUACCGAUCGGAAAUCGGCGCUGCGUCGGUACGUCAGUGCUGGUUCGCGUUCCGGCGCGCUUUAUACGUUAUACGUGCGCGCGCGCAGCACUCGGGCCAACACACCCAGCCGGCCACCGAUUGACCUCCCGCAAGGCGCGCCACAAUGAGAGCGAGAGUCGACUGGUCGAUCGAUCGCACGCGGACGCGCACGGGCACUUCCUCGCACGGGCACCUAUACUAUAUGGGGAGGCGAUGGCGAAACGCUGCGUGCGAAGGUCCGAACCACCGCUUUCUCUUUCGCUGCUCCGGGGAGAGGAUCGUUCGAGCGCACUGAUUUCGUUGUCCUCCCUGCCUGCAAGCAAGGAACAGAGUCACUCGCCCGUGCCGAGGCGGGACGAGGAGGGCUAACUGGCGACCUUUCCCGCUCGGCUCGGAGCAUCGGGUUGAGAACAAAGUUUGGACUUUCGCAGAGCUGCAGGGAGGCCGCAAUGGGAAACUCGAAGCGAGUAGGCAACAAAACCUCAGUGAUCAGUGAUCAGUUAUCUCAGUCCGGGAGGCUCGCCUGACGUAAUCGAGCAAAUUCUAAAUAUACAUAAGCUGGCGCCUUGAGAAAGAAUAAUAAUAUGGGGGGAGUGAGUCGCUUCGCGGCCCUGACCCCGAUGUCGUCGAGGUUUUUUCGGCGGCGUUGAAAAAUUCCUUUAUUUCCGGACGUGCGACUGCAGGCUGCAAUAGUCGAGCGUAUUUCAGGCGGCGAUCGCAUAUGGAUGAAUUCCUGGAAGCCAGAUGGCCGGACAAUGCCUUCGCACAUUCCCGGCGCGGCGAGGGGCAGGCUGUGUGUAUCUUGUUGCGCCGAUACUUCCCACAGCCCGAUAAGGCUUAUCGGCAGCUGAGAUUCCAUUGAGCCUUGAUCGAUGCGUGGAUUAAUUACUAUACGCUUUAUUUUUACGCGGGCGACGCGACCUUCGCCGCGCCAUAAAAUCAGAUUGCGCGAUGGAUACGCGCCGCCUUUCAUUCGUGCGUCCAAUGCAAAGAUGCAAAGGUGCGUAGGCCGCAGACGGGGCACACGCGUUCCCAUUCAUGGCGCUGCCAGUCGGCCUCAGCGAGCGAUUUCCCUUUCGAGCAGCAGCGCUUUGCAACUAUCAUCUUCGUAGGCUAUCGCCAGAGAGCGGAAACGAGCGGAAUCCCGUUAUUCCCGUCGGGAAUUUCCGAACCGGAAGUGCGGCCGCGCGCAUAUUUCGUAUUUCGGGAGCCGCCGCUUUAAAAUUAGCAGCGACUCGUCCGCUGCUGCCGCCGCUGAGCAGUCGGUGAUUCGUGCUUAGUGCUUUACGCGCGCGCGCGCGCGCGCACGCUGUAUACGAGCUCGAUGAUUGUACGCGGUCGUUUGACUUGGUCAACGGCUAUGAUGGAACUGCAGUGUCUAGGUAGCACACGUUCCAGCUCAGCUUUCUCUGCACAAUAUUAUUAUCUCGCCGCCCUGCAGAGACUCGACGCUGCGUAGCGACUAUACGGGAGAGUUUUCCCGUAAUGGGUACUUUGGCCCCUGCUGUCGGCUAAUUCGUUUUCCCGUCUCGUUGAUCUCUCUCUCUCUCUCUCUCUCUCAGAGCAAUCGAUUCCAUUGCAUUUGCAUUACUUGAAAAAGUAAAAAGGGAGCCGCGCUCGUGUAUUUUUAUACGCGCGCCAGAGAGCUUCCGCUGGCGCAGAUGUGAGGUCUGGCGCCUCGAGGGACGUGAAUGCACAGAUAGCGAGUGUUUCGAGCUACUCUGUGCACUCGCUUGGGAUCCUAAAACAUCGGCGCAGAGAUACGCCGGCGCACGCGAGAGCUUGAGAGCAGAUAACCGCACGGAGCUUUUCCCCGAGUUCUGCCGACCUUGGACGCGGCUGGGUUGGAAGAAUUCGUGAAUGGAGCCUCUGUGCUCUCGGCUAUCUUGCGAGAGAGCGUUUUUCGUAAAUACUUGGUAAAUCGAUUCGCUUCCGCCCUCCGUCCCUCGGCGCGCCCCGAGGCGGCUUUUAUAUCUGUUUGCUAGUCGAACGCCAGUUGAUUAACACAGACUAUGCGCGUCGACGCGCGGGCAUCAAGGUCGAUUUUCCGAUGCCCGACGGGAUGUCGGGAUAUCGGGAUAUCGGGGCUGAGCAGAGUGCAGCGGCGAUCCAAUAAUAGCCGCGCGCCGCCGCCUGUCGAGCGUCGGGGCCGCUGGCCUCUCUUCUGGCCAACACCCUUUUUCCAGAAUCUAUAAAUAGGCGAGAGAGCGACCCAGUUUCGGGCGCGGAACAGCGCCACAGCACAGGCAAAUUCGGAGAGCCCGCCGCGUCCCCCGCGCGGCGCUGCCGCUCGUGCCGAUCCGAAACGGCGCGCAAAACUGGAUAUUCGACGUGCAACGCUAAAAAAUUCAAAAAUAGAAAGCCUUCGCGGCCGUCAUGAGGCAAGUAUAUCCGGCGCGACGCCGCCUCGUUUUCGAUCGGCUCGCUCCGGCGCGCGGGCGUGGCUUUGCUCGCUGCUUCGCUCCCGCAAUAGUCGUGUCGAAACGUACUCCGUUCCGCGCGCACGGCAGCAAAUCCGCAAUCUCGGCGACAUUCUCGGCGGACGGUUUUCGCGUUAUUAGUUUCGCGACUCGGAGUGCGAGUCAAGAAGCUCUCUGCUCUGCUCUCUGAUGGCGCACCGAAACACAAACAGGCGGCUUUGAAACUGUAACUCGACCUCGAGUGCAGCGAUCGAUUAAUCUCCCCGACGACUACGGCGAGGCCCACAUUCACGAGACAUCCGCAGAAUCGAGAGAGCGAGGCAGAAGCAGAUGGGCACGCCCGCACCUCGCUCGCCCUCGACCCAUUGAAAAAAUUGAACAAAUUGAAAAGUCACAGAGGGAAAAGAGAGCAACGAGCGAUGAGAAUAGGAGAGUAAUUUCUAUCAACAACAGCGGCUAGAAUGUCAUUAAAAAAGCGGCGCGCAUGCAGCAGCACUCGAGACGUAACGUAACGAGAUCCUUUGCGCGGGAAAUUCAAUGUAUCACUGCCUGCGCUAUCGCGGCGACGGAGCCCUUCUACCCCCUUCGCUCUGGAUAGAGCCAGAUGAAGCUCGGUCCCCCCCCCCCCCCCUGCAGCCGGCCGCGGUGCAGGGGCGCAGUCGCCUUUUUUCAAUUGCUUCUAUCCGCGGCAUUAGCUGCGAAAAAUGUAUUCCGCUCCCGGAGCUCUCCCACACCCCCUUUCCGCAGCUUCUCUCCGAGCGAUUGUUUUCUCUUCCGGUGCGCGCCGGUCGCGUGCUCGCGAUUGUCCCCGCAUUGUGUGCGCGCAAGCGACGAAAGCCUCCGCUAUUUGAGCCAGCCUUCGAGAGCUGCACGAAGUUCACGAAUAAUUUGUAUAAAUCGUAUCGGAAAAAAAUUAGAUAAUUGCGGAAUCGUUAUAAAAGUUUGUAAUCGCAAGUAAAAAAAUUGUCAGUUUAUUAGUUUAUUUAUAAAAAAUCAAAAACUUUUUACGCCGCGAGAAAGUAGAAAAAUGCGUUUUUCUUGUAAGAUAUUGAUCUGAGAACAUUGAAACCACUGCGAAUCGUUUGUAAAUUAAUUACCGAUUCUGUAAAUAUUGCCUUUAUUGCGUUAUUCGCUAUAGAUACUGAUUAAUAAAUUAAUUAUUUUUUCGUCAACUAUGCUACACCAAUUCGGGCGGUUCGUGUACCAUAUUCCGUUCGAUGAUUCGAAUCAGCUGUUCCUAUAUCGUUACGCACGUGUACUGCAGUGACUAUAUAAUAUACGACAACAACAAUAAGUCGGUUUGUGCAAGUGCAUCGCGGAUUCAGAAGUGUGUACAGUGCAGCGAUGGUCUCCUGGUGCAACGGCCUCUUCAGGGAGUAUUGGCUUUCAAUCUUAUUCUAACUUUAAUAAGUCCAGAAGUAGUGAAAGUGUAAAUUACUAGUAAUCUUCAAUAACACCAAUCAGUCUACAUGCCAUUAGAUCAUACUUGGAUAGAAGAGCUUACCGUUGUAGCUACUACUGUUAUAACUACAGGUAUGUCCUAUCGUACAAAACAUUUUGAACCUUCAAUGGCUAACUUAUAACAAAUAUUAGGUGCUUCAAAACAUUGUAAUCAGGGUGACCAGACCUGUCGUCACUUACUAUCAUUAUAUUACAAAAAAUAUUAAUUGAGAUUACAUAAUAAUUUCUUUGUUGAUUUUUGAAAUAUCUGAAAUCGUAAACAUCUCACCACAUUACUAAAUAAUCACAUAAAUAACAUUUGGCCAGGUCUGGUCACCUGGCUCAUUGAAAUAUCUUGUGCAACAUACUAAUUCAUUUAUUUUUCAUCGAACGAGCAAACUGUUCCUGCAUAAGUUCCUGCAUCACUGAUGUCUCACCGGUAUCCACUCUUAUUUGUGCUGCUGCGCGUAUUCACUGGAGUGAAGUCUUCAAUACUUAUUGAAUUACCUUUCGCCAAGAGUGUAUCAUGAAGGACAUUUUCAGAACAAUACAUAUAAUAUAACAAAGUGAUCAAAAUAUUAAAAUUAUUAAUUUUUCAGAUUCGAGGCCGUCAACUUUGAUGGUGUAAACAACAGUGCGACUGAUGCAGUGCAGGACAGCUGGAUAGCUGUUUCAUCUGUUUCAAGAGUGAAGACCGCUGUGUUACAAGUGAAAGUGCGAAAGUGUUCUUAGGGGGAUGAAAUAGACUUAGGGAUUAGAAUGUGAGGGAGUAGGAUUAGUUUAGAAUAGUGUUAUCAAAAUAGGAUACAGAGCGUAUUAUCAGAUGAAAAUUGAAACUCUAAGUUCAUUAAUUAGAAUACAUAAUGUUUUGUUUAAUAACUUUCGAAAAUGUCACUGAAUAUUUUGUUUCAAUUUUCAUCUGCUCAGACUUUGGCAGGAUAUAUGUUAUUUUGCGAGUAAACUUUAGAAAAGCUAAUCACAGAGGAUCUGUCAGGACUAGCUUAAAUAAAUCUGUGUUCUGCCAUAUUUUUAGGUCCAGAAGGUGAAAAUAGAAAAUUCAACUCAAGUAAUUAUGACCAUCUGGUCCUAAAAAUACAGCAGAAAGUAAAAAAAGAACUUGUAAACGCUUAGAGAUACUCCAUCUCAGCAAUUACAGUUGCAAAGAGAAAAACCGUGAGCAGGUGUUUAGGUGAUCAUAGGAACCGAAUAUAGAUAAACGAAAAUUGCCAUGAUAGCUAUAGUUUCCUAAUGAUUAACAUAACAUCUGUACAAGUUUUUAGACCUCUAGAUUAAAAACUACUUUAAUAGUAUUGUCAUUACGUUCAACAAGUUUUGUAUAUCCUUAAAAAAAGUAACUACCAUAGCAAUUUUUAUUUAUCAUUGUCAGUGACUUUUAUCGAGGUAUUUUACUUAAUUUUAAAGCGUGGAAAAGCAACAAUAAUUUUGAACAAUUAUAAAUAAUAUAAACUUAAAAAUACUUCAAUUUGUUAAUAUGCAAAUAAUUUAUAAUACUUGAAAGGAAAAAUUAUUGUUAAAUACUAAGGUAUAGCUUGAGUAACAAUGCUUUUCUAUACUUGAAAUUAUAC